GAAAAAGCUACUGAGAAGAUUCCCCACCUUCGAGGAUCAUGCAGGCCUGUCUGAGUCGGCCUUACCAACCAGGCUGGUAGCUGGCGCUGGCAUAGAGGAAAGCUGCUCUCACAUAAAACUGCUAAGCAUUGCUGAAAAGGAAAAAGGUGCCCCAUGUUCCACUCAUCACUCUGAGCUGAGCCGAGACUGAGGCAGACGAUCCCGAACAGACGAAGGACUCGACCCUGCUGACGGCUGAGGAAAGAAAGACGUCUCGCUCAAUAAUAAACAGUGUGAAUCAGACAGUCGUCAUCGCCU